rnacentral:rRNA from 1 species
GAUGAACGCUGGCGGCGUGCCUAAUACAUGCAAGUCGAGCGAACAGACGAGGAGCUUGCUCCUCUGACGUUAGCGGCGGACGGGUGAGUAACACGUGGAUAACCUACCUAUAAGACUGGGAUAACUUCGGGAAACCGGAGCUAAUACCGGAUAAUAUAUUGAACCGCAUGGUUCAAUAGUGAAAGACGGUUUUGCUGUCACUUAUAGAUGGAUCCGCGCCGCAUUAGCUAGUUGGUAAGGUAACGGCUUACCAAGGCGACGAUGCGUAGCCGACCUGAGAGGGUGAUCGGCCACACUGGAACUGAGACACGGUCCAGAAUCCUACGGGAGGAAGCAGUAGGGAAUCUUCCGCAAUGGGCGAAAGCCUGACGGAGCAACGCCGCGUGAGUGAUGAAGGUCUUCGGAUCGUAAAACUCUGUUAUUAGGGAAGAACAAAUGUGUAAGUAACUAUGCACGUCUUGACGGUACCUAAUCAGAAAGCCACGGCUAACUACGUG